rnacentral:rRNA from 1 species
AGAGCGAACGCUGGCGGCAUGCUUAACACAUGCAAGUCGCACGGGCAGGGGUAACUCUGUCAGUGGCGGACGGGUGAGUAACGCGUAGGUAUCUAUCCUUGGGUGGGGGACAACCGUGGGAAACUACGGCUAAUACCGCAUGAUAACUGAGGUUUAAAGGCGCAAGUCGCCUGGGGAGGAGCCUGCGUACGAUUAGCUAGUUGGUGGGUAAAGCCUACCAAGGCUACGAUCGUUAGCUGGUCUGAGAGGAUGAUCAGCCACAUUGGGACUGAGACACGGCCCAAACUCCUACGGGAGGCAGCAGCGGGAAUAUGGACAAUGGGCGCAAGCCUGAUCCAGCCAUGCCGCGUGAGUGAUGAAGGCCCUAGGGUUGUAAAGCUCUUUUGUGCGGGAAGAUAAUGACGGUACCGCAAGAAUAAGCCCCGGCUAACUUCGUGCCAGCAGCCGC